rnacentral:lncRNA from 1 species
UUUAGUUUCGAUUAGUCGGUGUCAAUCUAAUUAUAAUUUUUCACAUGAAAAGUGACUGUUGGUAUUCUACGCUUCUAUGCCAUUCUAAUAGUUGUAUAAGUUUUGGUUUUGAACUCAAUUUCAUACCGUAAUUGGUCGACAUCCAUAAACUUAAACACUUAUUUUCUAUUUGCAUAUACUAACGGUUUUAUGUAUGAGAUUAUAGAUAAUAGAUAUAAAACUAAUAUUUACUUCCUGCGUCAACGAAACAACUCUUGUUUUGACGGACAAGUGAUUUAUAA